AGAGUUUGAUCAUGGCUCAGGACGAACGCUGGCGGCGUGCUUAACACAUGCAAGUGGAGCGACGAACCAGGGCUUGCCCUGGGGCAGAGCCGCGAACGGGUGAGUAACACGUGGGUAACCUGCCCCGAUGACCGGGACAACCCGAGGAAACUCGGGCUAAUACCGGAUGUGCUCGUUUCUCGUAAGGGAACCGAGCAAAGAUAGCUUCGGCCUUCGCAUCGGGAGGGGCCCGCGGCCCAUUAGCUUGUUGGUGAGGUAACGGCUCACCAAGGCUGCGAUGGGUAGCUGGUCUGAGAGGAUGAUCAGCCACACUGGGACUGAGACACGGCCCAGACUCCUACGGGAGGCAGCAGUGGGGAAUCUUGCGCAAUGGGGGAAACCCUGACGCAGCGACGCCGCGUGGGCGAUGAAGGCCUUCGGGUCGUAAAGCCCUGUCGAGCGGGACGAAACGUGCGAGCUCUAACAUAGCUCGUGCCUGACGGUACCGCUAGAGGAAGCCCCGGCUAACUCCGUGCCAGCAGCCGCGGUAAUAC
rnacentral:rRNA from 1 species